rnacentral:rRNA from 1 species
AUUGAACGCUGGCGGCAGGCCUAACACAUGCAAGUCGAACGAGUGGCGGACGGGUGAGUAAUGUCUGGGAAACUGCCUGAUGGAGGGGGAUAACUACUGGACACGGUAGCUAAUACCACAUACCAUCAGAUGUGCCCAGAUGGGAUUAGCUAGUUGGUGGGGUAACGGCUCACCAAGGCGACGAUCCCUAGCUGGUCUGAGAGGAUGACCAGCCACACUGGAAAUGAGACACGGUCCAGACGCAUACGGGAGGCAGCAGUGGGGAAGAUUGCACAAGGGGCGCAAGUCUGAUGCAGCCAUGCCGCGUGUAUGAAGAAGGCCGUCGGGUUGUAAAGUACUUUCAGCGGGGAGGCGUUACCCGCAGAAGAAGCACCGGCUAACUCCGUGCCAGCCGCCGCGGUAAUAC